rnacentral:piRNA from 1 species
UGUAAAUAAAAAGGAAAGGCCAUUUGGAAA